ensembl:snRNA U1 U1 spliceosomal RNA
AGACUCACUUAGCAGGGGAGACCUCAUGAUCACAAAGUUGAUUUUCCCAGGGUGAAGCUUAUCUAUUGCACUCCACAUGCGCUGACCCCUGUCAUUUUCCCACAUGUGAUAAACUCAACUGCAUGAUUGUGGCAGUAGGGAACUGCAUUUACACUUUUCCUUA